AUGGCGCGCCUCUCCUGCCGCCGCUUCCUCCUCUCGCUCCACGUCGCGCUGCUGCUGCUAGUCCCCUGCACCUGCCAGGUCGGGGAUUCGUGCUCGGCGGCCCGCGACUGCGGGGUGGGCCUCUACUGCGGCGAUUGCGCCGCCGCCGGCCGGACGCGGCCGUCCUGCAUCAGGGACCUGGCCAUCCAGCCCACCUCCAUCGUGAAGGGGCUGCCAUUUAACAGGUACUCAUGGCUGGUGACCCAUAAUUCAUUCUCCAUCGUCGGCGAGCCGUCACGCACCGGGGUUGAGAGGGUUACAUUCUACAACCAGGAAGACACUGUCACCAACCAACUCAGGAAUGGAGUGAGGGGAUUGAUGCUGGAUAUGUAUGACUUCGGUGGGGAUGUCUGGCUCUGCCACUCCUUGCAAGGGCAAUGCUACAACUUCACUGCUUUCGAACCAGCAAUUGACACGUUGAAAGAGGUGGAAGCAUUUCUAUCCGAGAAUCCCACGGAGAUUGUUACAAUAUUCAUCGAGGAUUACGUACAUGCCCCGAUGAGAUUGAGCAAAUUGUUUACUGCUGCUGACUUGAUGAAGUAUUGGUACCCUAUCUCAGAAAUGCCAACGAGUGGGCAGGAGUGGCCCACCGUCACAGAUAUGGUUGCAAAGAACCACAGGUUGCUUGUGUUUACUUCCGAUGCUUCAAAGGAGUCUAGCGAAGGAAUAGCUUACCAGUGGAGUUAUUUGCUGGAGAAUGAGUCUGGAGAUCCGGGUAUUGACCCUAGCGCUUGUCCAAACAGAAAGGAAUCACAGCCACUAAACUCAAGAUCUGCGUCUCUAUUUAUGCAAAAUUAUUUCCCCACAAUUCCUGUUGAGAGUGAAGCAUGCAAAGAGAAUUCUGUUGGACUACCUCAGAUGGUCCAAACUUGCUAUGCUGCAGCUGGAAAUAGAAUCCCGAACUACAUAGCUGUGAAUUUUUACAUGCGAAGCGACGGUGGUGGUGUUUUUGAUGUUCAGGACAGAAUCAACGGCCUUACGCUAUGUGGUUGCAACACCAUUGCUGCUUGCCAGGCUGGGGCACCAACGGGCGCAUGCAAGAACACUGGAGCACCUAAUCGAACUACCUCUUCUGUAAACGGGAACGUCUAUUCAGGAACUAUAGAAUUCAAGACUUCUGCUUCAAGGGCCAGCAGUACUUCCACCUGGAGCAACUUGGUUAUUUCGCUAAGUCUUGCUUUGAUUCUUAAGCCAUUUUGA
rnacentral:rRNA from 1 species